rnacentral:rRNA from 1 species
UUACUAAAAAAUUAAUAGUUAAUUUCUUUAAAUUUAAAAAAUUUGGCGGUAUUUUAUUCUUAUUAGAGGAAUCUGUUCUAUAAUUGAUAAUCCACGAUUAAUUUUACUUAUUUUUUUAAUUCAUAUAUCGCUGUCAUGAAUAUAUUUAAAGAUUAAUUUUCUUAAAUUAUUAUUUUAAUUUAUGUUAAGUCAAGAUGUGGUUUAUAUUUAAGAAAGAAAUGGAUUACAUUAAAUUUAAUUUUUGGAUUUAAAAUGAAAAUAUAAAUAAAAUUGGAUUUAAUAGUAAAUUUAUUUAUUUAAAUAAAAUGAAUAAAGAUCUAAAAUAUGUACAUAUUGCCCGCCAUUCUUAUUAAAAAUAAGACAAGUCGUAACAAAGUAAAUGUACUGGAAAGUGUAUUUAGAAUGAUUAAAAAA